GCCUGGGUGGCUCAGUCGGUUAAGCGUCUGACUUCGGUUCAGGUCAUGAUCUCACAGUUUGUGAGUUCGAGCCCCGCAUCGGGCU
rnacentral:tRNA from 1 species